UUUGGGAGGGAAGAAAACUUUUACAAGACACUCCUUGCUUGAAAUUGAAACUUCUUUUAAAUUGCAGCGCAAUAUAGUUGAGACAAUAGAGGAAGCAGAAGGCAGCAGCAAUAAUAAAAAUGGGUGACCAACAUUAUUCAGAACUUGCGGAACACUCUGCCCUGGCACGUGGGCAUCAUGACAAAAAGCAGGAAAUUCCAGGGGUUGCAAAUAAGAAAGUUUGUGAAUGUUUUGACAACAGUGAAUCUUAGGAACAGUAAUUGAACCACGUCGUUUGAGAGAUCGAGAGGCUCUAAAAAGGAAAAGAGAAGAGGCGCAGGCCAAAGACACUUUACAGCAAGAUUUUCGUAGUAAACAUCAGAAGAAAGCUAAAGAAACUGGACGUGGGAGAAGGAAACAAGUCAAGGAACCUGAGCCAGAGCCGCAGCAUGAGCCCAAGCUGGAACCAAAACAUGACCCACAGCUUCAAUUGGAACAUGAACUAGAGCAGGAACCUGAGCAUGAGCCGGAACAUGAACAGAAGUCUGCGUUAAUGACUGAUGUUCCACUAGUCCAGGACCAGCAGGCACCACUGGAGCAUCAAAUCCCACUUCCAACAGUGAGUGCAGAUGAGUCUGCAAUUGUUAUACAUGGAGAGGCUGCUGGCCAAUUGCCAGAGGAGAGCACAUGUUUUCUAAAAGCAGAUGAAGAAGAGGUGGCAGAGGCGGAAUCUGUGCCAGCGACUGCAGCACCUGAAGUUCUGAGCUUCUCCCUCAGUCCUGAAGAAGAGGAACAUCAAUACUACACUCCGCUGCUUUAACUUUAAGUAAUUAAGCAAGCAAUUUUAUACGCAACAGUAAAAUAUAUAAUUAUUUUAAUGUAAAAUAUUACUUUUAUGUCAUUCUGAGUGAACAAAAAAAAUCAGCAUUUAUUUUCUACCAGGCUGAGUACAGGGUGUAUGCUGUCUGUAAUCAACUAUCCUUGUCAGUGUAAUAGGAGACUGACAAUUAAGACAUAUUUUUGUUUAUGACAUACAUUAACUAUACUGUUGUAAUUCAAUUAUUUUCAAAUGAGAUGACAGAACAGUUAUCAGACAUGUAUCACCAGGUAUGUUUUAUCCAUGUAUGUAAGAAGCAGACAGGACAUAAAUUCCCUCCCUCUACUUGUACUAUUAGGUGAACUAAUUGCAUAAACCAGCCGUUGUCAACCUGGGAAGUACCUGGGUGCUUGCUGGGAUGUUCAAUGUCCUCAAAAAAUGUUCAAAAAUGGCUGGUAGGUAGGGGGCAAGGGGCAUCUAUUGACAGGCAUUGAUUGCAGAUAAGGUACCUUGAUAUUCCAUACUCUCGCAAAACUUCUGGGAGACUCACGGAGUUUGUGUGGCCCUCCUGGUCCCCGGGAAGAGUAGGCAAGGUAACGGUAAUCAGCUGUCAGACGACCGCCUCCCAUCCACUUCGAGAGUGAGCGGGUCGGGCGGAUAGAUGACGCAAUUCAUGUUGAAUUCCAUUAUCUUACCUACGCCUCUCGCUUUACAAUGCCAAUAAAUCAUGUCUGUAUAGUGGAGGUGGAGCCAAUGAUGCGAUUGUGCAGUGGCAGAUGUAAAGGUCAGGCUGCCUCUUUAGCAUAACUUUUUUGACAUCAGUCACGUAACCUUAUUGUAUGGCUUCUGUGGCCGCUGCUCUUCUUCUCGCCAUGGCUCCUCAGCAUUUCAGCAAAGCAGUGCGGCAUGGCGUGACACCAUGAUGUCAUGCAUGCUGUGACACAAUAAACCAUAAAACUUUAUUAUAUGAGAAGUGGAUUAGACAACAGUGACUGCUCAUUCCCCUGACCCUGUACAUGCCUAUGCCUUGUUGAUGACUGCAGCAGGCAGCAGUUAAAGAUAGAUUUAUCUGCAGGGGGAAGCCUGCCAUACUGCCCCCAGCAGGUGGCACCCCUAGGCAGGUGCCUGGUGUGUAAUCCGCCACUGCGAUUAUAACAACAUGCAUUACAUAACUGGCUGUGUCUCCCACCACCACCCGCCACACCACCAAACUGACUUUGCUAUGGCCACCGACACUGCCUACCCAGGGGGCAUCCAGAAUUUGCCCCAAGAACUGAAGCUCAUUUACUCCACCAGCUGAGCUUGUACAGUCACAGCAUCUUCCCCCCACUUUGAAAGCUCAACCCUUUGUCACCUCUUUUCCUGUUCUCUUCUAAUUUGUUCUCUUCUAAUUUCCUUGCUCUCAAUAGCAGUAUCUGUCCCACAAUUUGAAGGCCAACGGCAUCGGUAUCCAUUCACAUGGUCGACCAUGUUAUGGUUGACAGUCAUUAGGUCGACCACUAUUGGUCGACAUUGACAUGGUCGACAUGGACACAUGGUCGACACAUGAAAGGUCGACACAUGAAAAGGUCGACAUGAGUUUUUUAACUUUUUUUUCUUUUGGGGAACUUUUCCAUACUUUACGAUCCACAUGGACUACGAUUGGAACAGUAAAGUGUGCCGAGCGAAGCGGUAGCGGAGCGAAGGCACCAUGCCCGAAGCAUGGCGAGCGAAGUGAGCCAUGCGAGGGGACGCGGUGCACUAAUUGGGGUUCCCAGUCACUUUACGCAAAAAACGACACCAAAAAAAAGUUAAAAACUCAUGUCGACCUUUUCAUAUGUCGACCAAUUUCAUGUGUCGACCAUGUGUCCAUGUCGACCAUGUCAAUGUCGACCAAUAGUGGUCGACCUAAUGACUGUCGACCAUAACAUGGUCGACCAUUCAUACCGGAACCACGGCACCACAUACAUCUAUACAUUCCUCAAGUUUUCUAUUGGACAUCCAGGUGAUAAUACAUACAUAGGGAUUGGGAAAGUAGUGCCCUAGAAUAUGUACUGUCAUGUAUCACCGUGUGACUCAGAUAACUGGCAGGAGAUUACAGCAACGUGAUCACUGGCAUAAAUCAGAGUGAGUGAAAUCCAGGUCAUUUCUGACGUCCCUAAUGUAAGAACUUGUGACAAUGACAUUAGAAUAUUAUAUUGCAUGUUAAUAUAUUUUAUGUUUUCUAGUUGAUUCAAAAUAAUAAAUGUAAUAAAUAAAUAAUAAUAAAAAGUUCACAGAUA